AAGUGUUACAGCUUUUUUAGAAUUUGUCUAGCAGGCUUUUUGGUUUUUGCCAGAAAGUCAGU
ensembl:snRNA U7 U7 small nuclear RNA